AUCCUGGCUACAGAUUGAACGCUGGCGGAAUGCUUUACACAUGCAAGUCGAACGGUAGAGGGGCAACCCUUGAGAGUGCGAACGGGUGAGUAAUAUAUCGGAACGUGCCCAGUCGGUGGGGAUAACGUAGCGAAAGUUACGCUAAUACCGCAUACGAUCUAAGGAUGAAAGCGGGGGAUCGCAAGACCUCGCGCGAUUGGAGCGGCCGAUAUCAGAUUAGGUAGUUGGUGAGGUAAAGGCUCACCAAGCCAACGAUCUGUAGCUGGUCUGAGAGGACGACCAGCCACACUGGAACUGAGACACGGUCCAGACUCCUACGGGAGGCAGCAGUGGGGAAUUUUGGACAAUGGACGCAAGUCUGAUCCAGCCAUUCCGCGUGCAGGAUGAAGGCCCUCGGGUUGUAAACUGCUUUGUACGGAACGAAAAGGUUUCUAUUAAUACUAGGAGCUCAUGACGGUACCGUAAGAAUAAGCACCGGCUAACUACGUG
rnacentral:rRNA from 1 species